AUUGAACGCUGGCGGCAGGCCUAACACAUGCAAGUCGAACGAGUGGCGGACGGGUGAGCAAUGUCUGGGAAACUGCCUGAUGGAGGGGGAUAACUACUGGAAACGGUAGCUAAUACCGCAUACCAUCGGAUCGGCCCAGAUGGGUGUAGAUAGUGGGUGGGGUAACGGCUCACCUAGGCGACGAUCCCGAGUUGGUCUGAGAGGAUGACAAGGCACACUGGAACUGAGACACGGUCCAGACUCCUACGGGAGGCAGCAGUGGGGAAUAUUGGACAAUGGGCGCAAGCCUGAUGCAGCCAUGCCGCGUGUAUGAAGAAGGCCUGCGGGUUGUAAAGUACUUUCAGCGGGGAGGCGUUACCCGCAGAAGAAGCACCGGCUAACUCCGUGCCAGCAGCCGCGGUAAUUC
rnacentral:rRNA from 1 species